CACGUAGGGUGCGAGCGUUGUCCGGAAUUAUUGGGCGUAAAGAGCUCGUAGGCGGUUUGUUGCGUCGGCUGUGAAAUCCCGAGGCUCAACCUCGGGUCUGCAGUCGAUACGAGCAAACUAGAGUGUUGCAGGGGAGACUGGAAUUCCUGGUGUAGCGGUGAAAUGCGUAGAUAUCUGGAGGAACACCGGUGGCGAAAGCGGCUCACUGGACCCAAUCUGACACUGAGGUGCGAAAGCUAGGGUAGCAAACGGG
rnacentral:rRNA from 1 species